GACGAACGCUGGCGGCGUGCUUAACACAUGCAAGUCGAACGGAAAGGCCCUGCUUUUGUGUGGUGCUCGAGUGGCGAACGGGUGAGUAACACGUGAGUAACCUGCCCUUGACUUUGGGAUAACUUCAGGAAACUGGGGCUAAUACCGGAUAGGAGCUCCUGCUGCAUGGUGGGGGUUGGAAAGUUUCGGCGGUUGUGGAUGGACUCGCGGCUUAUCAGCUUGUUGGUGGGGUAGUGGCUUACCAAGGCUUUGACGGGUAGCCGGCCUGAGAGGGUGACCGGCCACAUUGGGACUGAGAUACGGCCCAGACUCCUACGGGAGGCAGCAGUGGGGAAUAUUGCACAAUGGGCGGAAGCCUGAUGCAGCAACGCCGCGUGCGGGAUGACGGCCUUCGGGUUGUAAACCGCUUUCGCCUGUGACGAAGAGUGAGUGACGGUAAUGGGUAAAGAAGCAACGGCUAACUACGUG
rnacentral:rRNA from 1 species